GCCUGGGUGACUCAGUCGAUUGAGUGUCUGACUUCAGCUCAGGACAUGAUCUCGUGGUCUGUGAGUUCAAGCCCUGCUUUGGGCU
rnacentral:tRNA from 1 species